rnacentral:rRNA from 1 species
UACAUGGGGUGCAAACGUUGCUCGGAAUCAUUGGGCGUAAAGCGCGCGUAGGCGGUUACUUAUGUCGGAUGUGAAAGCCCUCGGCUUAACUGAGGAAGUGCAUUCGAAAACUGGGUAGCUAGAGUACUAAAGAGGGUCGCGGAAUUCCCGGUGUAGAGGUGAAAAUUCGUAGAUAUCGGGAGGAACACCGGUGGCGAAGGCGGCGACCUGGGUAGAUACUGACGCUGAGGCGCGAAAGCGUGGGGAGCAAACAGG